GGCUGCCCGCGGGUUCGGCAGAGGCUCUCGCGGCCCGUAACACGGGGUGGCGCCCCCAGGCGGCAGCAAAACCGAGGCGCUGCUGCCUCCCUGAACGUGGGGAGAAGGCGGCAGGUGGGGAAGGGCCACAUAUGGCCACCGGGAUGACCCUGGCCACGGGACUGUCUAGCGAAAUGCCCUAACCCACCUCCUGGAGUUCCUCAAGGGGUAGAAAACGUCGUCACGAGUUGAGAAGCGCCUGUUGGAUUCCAGAUUUGGAGAAGCGGGUCCAUUUGAAAGAAAACAUUCGGGAAACAUUAGCAGAGGUGGCAGAAAGGUGGGGUGAUCGGAGGCUUGGAUAGUCUCGCAGUCGCUGUGUGGCCUGGAGACAAUCGCUGCACCUCUCUGAUGCUGUUUUCUCACCUGAAAAUGCUUUCAGUCCUCAUGUCAGGGGAUAGUGUUGUCUGCCCGCCUCAGAAUGAAAGCGGGGGAAGGACAUUUUCUCCUAAGUGAAAGAGGGUAUGGUUGGAUAGGAGAAGAGUCUCACAUACACGUCCAGGCCCUUGGGAGACUUGGGGGUGUCUUUGGUUGUGGGGGAUACUCUGUUUUUAAAGUCUUCUCGGGAAAGCUGG